ACAACUUUCGACAACGGAUCUCUUGGCUCUCGCAUCGAUGAAGAACGCAGCGAAAUGCGAUAAGUAAUGUGAAUUGCAGAAUUCAGUGAAUCAUCGAAUCUUUGAACGCACCUUGCGCCCCUUGGUAUUCCGAGGGGCAUGCCUGUUUGAGUGUCAUU
rnacentral:rRNA from 1 species